UCUGGAGAGGGGAGAAUCUGGAGAGAGGAGAAUCUGGAAAAGGGAGAAACUGGAGAGGGGAAAAUCUGGAGAGGGGAGAAUCUGGAGAGGGGAGAAUCUGGAGAAUUCUCCCCUCUCCAGUUUCUCCCCUCUCCAGAUUCUCCCCUCUCCAGUUCUCCCCCU
rnacentral:SRP_RNA from 1 species